rnacentral:rRNA from 1 species
CCUACGGGUGGCUGCAGUCGAGAAUCUUUAGCAAUGGACGAAAGUCUGACUAUGCGACGCCGCGUGAGGGAUGAAGGUCUUCGGAUUGUAAACCUCUUUCGAUCGGAAAGAAUAUCUUAUGCCAUAAUACGGCAUAGGACUGACGGUACCGAGAGAAGAAGCCACGGCCAACUCCGUGCCAGCAGCCGCGGUAAUACGGAGGUGGCGAGCGUUACUCGGAUUUAUUGGGUGUAAAGGGCAGGUAGGUGGCUCAACAAGUGGGGAGUGAAAUCCUCCGACUUAAUCGGAGAAUUGCUUUCCAAACUAUUGAGCUUGAGUGUGAGAGAGGAUAACGGAACUCCUGGUGUAAGGGUGAAAUCUGUAGAGAUCAGGAGGAACACCAUUAGCGAAGGCGGUUAUCUGGAUCACAACUGACACUGAACUGCGAAAGCUAGGGGAGAGAACAGGAUUAGAUACCCCAGUAGUC